AUGUAGUGGUAAAGCCUUAGGUAUCAGAAACUUCAUGUGGAACUGGCCCCACUUGAUCAAUUAUUGGAAUAUAGGAGGUGUGACAUACUACUUUGAGGUGUGAAUACUGCUUUGAGGUGGCACACUGCUUGCAGGAGGCAUGACCACUGCUUUGAGCCUUUGCUGCCAUUCCAACACCAUGGGAGAAUUACAAGCUUUAUAUCCUGGUAUGCGUACAAUUAUUCAUAGAACUAGUCAGCUUCAAAGUUCUAAAUGGAAUGUCUAUUGUUGUGGUUGCUUGUAUCUGCCCAUCUUAGAUUCUUCCUAGCAAUAAUUCUGAGAGACUCUGGAUUGUGGGCCGAAUGGAGAAUGAAGCCUUUUCAAAUUCACCUCCCAGAUUCACAGAAGAUUUGCAAACCAACAGCUCUGUAGUCACAGUAGCCAUGAUGUAAUCAACAGAAAAAUUCCACCUAAAGAUGUGUAUGUCAUAUUCCCCAAAACCAUAAACAUAUUAUCUUACACAUUAUUAAUGUCAACAUAAUGUCUAUGGAAUGAAUCCAGUGACAUAUACUUUAGAGACACAAUGUUCUCAAAGUUUUUACACUUGCAAAAAAAAAAAAAAAAAAAAAAAACGCCACCUUGGACUGAAAAACAGAAAGAAGAAAUCAAAGAAAUUUGUUGGACUCCCGAAAUGCUAUAAACAGAAUAUUGCCUAAUAAAAUUACUCAGCUGAAAACACAUGCUUACCUUUUUUUGUUUGUCAUAGAUGGCUCUUAUUAUUUUGAGGUAUAUUCUUUCACUGCCUAGCUGUUGAGUGUUUUUAACAU
rnacentral:lncRNA from 1 species